UGGCUAGUAGCUCAGUGGUAGAGCUCCCGCUUCGUAUACGGGAAAACCUGUGUUCAAUCCCCGGUUGCCUAC
rnacentral:tRNA from 1 species